AUGCUUCAAUUCCCGGCCAUUCAUCAUAUAAGAAAAUUAAACAGAUCAGAAGAAAAUGAAGAGUUUCUUGAUAAGGAUAAUCCCAUUAUUAUUUGUUGCCGUGCUUUUCAUUUCCUCAGUCACUACUGCCAAUCAUAUUCAUGGCUGCGGACACUGCAAACAACACUCCACUACUACUACUACUCACAAUAAGCAUCACAAACACAAGAAGCCCAGUCCUCCUCCGGUGCCGAUUGUUAAGCCGCCCUGUCCUCCACCGCCGCCGCCGCCGCCGUCGUGCCCAGUGGACACUCUAAAGCUAGGGGCGUGUGUGGAUCUCCUGGGUGGGCUGGUCCACAUUGGGCUGGGAGACCCGGUUGUGAACCAGUGUUGCCCGUUACUCAAAGGGCUUGUGGAGGUUGAAGCUGCGGCGUGUUUGUGUACAACGUUGAAGAUAAAGGCUCUCAACCUCAAUAUCUAUGUUCCAAUUGCACUUCAACUUCUCGUCACUUGUGGCAAGCCACCACCACCUGGCUACACUUGUUCUAUUUAGACCUACCUACCUAAGUUCAGAGCUUUAGAUUAACGGAUUUAUGUGAGUUUCUUUUGGGAUUAUUCAACUUGUGACAUUUUAUAUUUAAUACAUUUUGUAUAAAUAAUUUGUUGAGAAAUCCAAGAUGCAUGGCUAGCUUCUUUGGAGUGACUUUUUUGAAGUUAAUUUAACAAGUUUGUUUUGUAUUUGGAUGGCUGGAGCCUAGCUGCAAAUAAGGAUGAAAUUUUAAAUUCUUCUUUGAAAUAAUAAA